GAUCAUGGCUCAGGAUGAACGCUGGCGGCGUGCUUGACACAUGCAAGUCGAACGAAGCACUUUACCUGAUUUCCUUCGGGGAGUGAUUGUUCUGUGACUGAGUGGCGGACGGGUGAGUAACGCGUGGAUAACCUGCCUCACACAGGGGAGUAACAGUUGGAAACGAACUGCUAAUACCGCAUAAGCGCACAGCACCGCAUGGUGCAGUGUGAAAAACUCCGGUGGUGUG
rnacentral:rRNA from 1 species